GCUCAUAUUCUUUCUGGUUUUGUUUUCUUCCCAGUUCUGUGCUUUGGAUAACUCCUCUUGACCUGUGUUUCAAGGUACCUUGCCCAGGCACCCGGCUCGCUGGGCUGAACGUGAAGUGUGCGUAUGAGACACCUAUCACUUUCUUCCGCCUCAGAAGGUUGAGAUUGUCCAGGCAAGACCAAGGCUGGGGCAUGAUCACCUUGGUUCUCCUCCCCCUGGCACUCUAUUUGCUCAGCCAUCUUCCUGCAGCACCCCUCCUCUCCGGGGAGGCCUCACUUCUGUGCUGAUGGGGCUUGGGUGCAUGCCGGGGGGAGAUGGACGACGGGAACAAGCCACGGCUGGACUUGCAGAUAACAGAUUACAAAGUGUAGUUGGUGCAUCUGCUAAGAUAUAAUAAUAGUAAUAUUUAGGCUAGAAAUAAUUUGUGUAGCAAGUAAUUCAUUUGGUAUUCACCAUGACCAUAUGACACAGUUGACAUUAUUAUCCCUAUUUUACCAAUGAGGUAACAGGCAGAAAAACAGCUGAGAGAUAGAUCAAGGUCAUAUCUCUGGGAAGUGGUAGAGAGACAGAAUAUGUAAAUAUUGUAAAAAAAAAUGCUUUAAAAUGCUCAC